ensembl:lncRNA
CUGGGAUUUCCUAAAGCAAAUAUGUAAAUAUUUUCAAAAUAAAAAAAAUAUAUAUUUAUUCUAAUUUAUAUAUAUUUAUUUUAAUCUUUAAAUGUUAUUUGCUUUUAUUAACAUACACUUCUGACUUCCUAUAUUGAAAUUACCCCAUUCUGCUUUUAUGGCACGCAGUUGUCUUGCUUCAGUUACUGGAGGAGAUGGUUUGAUAUAUACAUACCUGGAGCAAGACUAAGAUAGCAAACAAGGCCAAGAUGUUACCCAACCAAUUUAUUACAAACUCUAAGUCUAAAAUGAUAAUCCUCUCACCUCGAGGUCUACCCUGAGGGGUACAUUUUUAUUCUUGGAGGACAAUGCUCUCAUGUUGGGGUAUAUCCUACCCUGUGACACCAAUGUAAUGUCUCCCUUCAGUUACUGGAGGAGAUAUUUCAUGGAGGGGGCACUCACACUGGCUCCAAUCUCUUCAGUUUUUAUCCUCUUCUUUCUGCUCUCAUGCACCUCAUGUUGCUUUGGGCAACAGCGCCUGCUCUUCUUGUAUGGGUGACGAGCAGUUAAUCAUGUGGUAAUCACGUGCCUGCUACCUGGCAGGCCAGUGGGCAUGCACACUGACUCCAUUUUUCUCCAAAACAACCUCAAAAGCCAUCCUGACCUGCAAACAUCAGCUGAGAGUCAAUUCUUUCCUCUCAAAGCCUCCUGAACACAGAAAAAUGAUAUGCAUGGACACAGCCUUGUAUAGCUGUCAAUUACCCUUGGCAGAUGUCAGAACACUUGCAGAACAGAAAUCUGCACAGACAGGAGUUUCAAUCAGCAUCAUUAGAGCCGAGCACCUGAGAGAAGGGUGGGCUUCUUUCCCCAUACAGCAUCUCACUUGGGCCAGGAAUUUUGACUGUUUCUCCAAUACCACACACCUUCACACGUUGCAAAAGGUUUAGCCAUGGGUAUGUUAAAUGUCUUCUGCACAUCAAGAGAUUUCUUUCUUCUUUAUGUUUUGACCCAUGUAUUCCACUAGUAUGCAGAUGGACACUUUUUGCUCUGAGCCUUGAUUUGGACAGAGUGGAAAGGUGUGCCUCCCCAUUAAAAAACAGUGAGAAAAUUAUCCUCAGCAGUGGUGGUUCAGUUGCAGUGCAGAAGCAGCUUACUUGGACGAGUGUAAUAUAUUUUCAAGAAACAUGCAGGUUUUGAGUUACAGUUAUUAUUGUGUUGUGCUUAAUGUGCUCCAAUUCAAACAGGAUAUCAGUAGCCAGGGGCUGGUUCAAUGGCUCUCUGCACUGUACUGAAGUAAGGCUGGCAUUUCAAGACCAGCACCUCAUAGAAACUGCUUGUUUCCUCCUCGAUUUUGAAAAUCUUAUUUCGAAGGGCAGCUGAUACUAAAAACUACAUUUCUCUGUUGCAUCUGUGCAGGAAUUUCAGCGUGAAGCAACAAACUCUCCUGAGAGAGUUCUCAGGAACUCUCUUUAGAAAAUAAUUUGUCAGUUGGAACCUUUGAAUAUCUUUUUAAAGUAUUUGUUAAAUGUUCCCUUGCCUCUGUCAUAUUUCCCUACAGUUUCCAGAUGACUGUCCACCUUUCUCCCCUCAAAAUUCUGUUCCGUGUCACUUUCACGCUGGAAAAAUCCUGCACAUCAUCUGUAGAUGAAAAUUUAUGGUUUCGGAUUUUAAUUAAGAAAUAAUUUCCAGUAAAUGCUUUUCCACUGAAGUCAAGUUUCACCAAUUUAUUUGCAUGAGCAUUUAAAGAAAUUUCAUAAAAAUAUAAAUAAAAUGAGAAUAUGCUGUUUUAGGCCCCGAUUCAGCAAUGUGCUUAAGCACGUACUUAAAUUCAUCCAUUAACACAUGUUUGAGUGCUGAAUAAAUCCCCUGCGGUAUUUAAAGCUUGGAGUGUGUUUAAGUACUUCUGUGAUUUCAAAUUCUGGCUCUCUUCAGUAGGAGAAAAAAGUAUCCCAUGCUUUAAAUAAAAACGAUUUUAUUUUCUUUGAAGAAAAAAUUAAAGGAUGUUGAUGCUUAACAUGUGGUCAGUGUUCCAAGAAGGAUCAGUUAAAAACCAGGUAAUCAAUGCCUGUCACUGAGUGUUGCAAAGACUGUUGUCUGCUUUCUGCUCCACGACUGGCACCACCAGAUGUCCUCCACCCUCUCGUUCCCAGUCUGGAGAUGGAGGUGGAGCUCUGCAAGAGGCUCUGUAAAAGAUCCAAAAAUGGGGCAAAGCUGUCCAAACAUUUUGGGCAUCCUAUGGCUGUCAACAUAUUUUUCUCUCUUCUUUUCUUCUUCAGCAGUGAAGUGGAGAAAGUGGAAGAGCAUGCAUGGUUCUACUAAGUAAUUGAAAAUGAAAUGAGAGCUUUGAUAUUAAUGUGGACAAGAGGCAACAUUGGACUCUGUUUAGGAUGAAGGAUAGCAUCUCUUUGAAAUGUGGUCUUUCAGCUUAGCUUUCAUGGAAGAAUGUGACAAAAGUUUGAUGAGAGAUAAGAAACUUAAAAUGUCAGUGCUUACUGAGAAAGGAGGAAAAUUGCUUUUCUUAGACAAGAGCCACAUUGAACAAGGUAAGAGUGCAGAAUAACUGUUUCUCUUGUGGCCUCUACCUGAGUCCUAAAACAGUUCACACAUAGACUUGUUAAGUCACUCACUGUGAUGCAGUUCAUACGCAGAAGCUGCAAAAAAUCUUUAUUUGUUUACAGAAAAUGCUCUAACAGUGGUUAUGACUACUUCAGCAGGCAAGCCUGACUGAUCAGUAAUGCCAGGAUGUAGAAAGUAUUAUUUUAAAUGCAGAACUUCACCUCUUGAUGAUGUUUGAACAGAUGAUUUUCUGGUAGUACCUCUAUAUAGUUAUGUAUAUAGUUAUUUUUAUAGUUAUAUAUGGUUGGGGUUUUUUUACUUAUUUUAUUUUAAUACUAAACUUAUUUGGUCUCAAAGAUGCAAAGCAAUUAUAAAAAACAGAGUACAAGGCUUGAAAGUAGCAUCUCAGCAUUGUACACUCUAAUAAAAUGUGAGGGGGACAAACAAUAGAAGUCCCAGUAUUAUUUUUUCCACUGCACUGUCUUGGGAAUGUCAGUAGCAAAUGUAAAGCUCUGGUAUAUUUAACCUGUGAAAAAUUAUACAAUUGUGUACACAGGUGGAGCUGAACUUCCUUGUUUUAAGGGGAGAAGGUGCAGAGGGAAGGAAAGGGAAGGUAGCAAGGAAGCUGUUUGAGCCCACCGUUGAUGAGUGAGCUGUUUAACUAUAUAGGAUCAUAAAGGGAAGAGGGUUAUUUUUCCACGUAAAAUACACAUGUGAUUGUCAGAGUCCUUAGAACACCAACCUGAAGAACCUCAUAAUCUUUACUGCAGGGAGCAUUCAUUUUGCUGAAUCCCUUCAUCCUCCCACAGCAAAUGCUUCCAACAAUGCUAAUGUGACCUCAACAAGUUAACGUUUGGAGUUCUCUGUAUUGAAACCAGCUGUAAUCCUCCUCCUCCGCAUUCGUGUUGGUCUUGUUCUUCAGCUCAGCUUCUCAUGAAGGUUGCUCCAAGGGGAGUUCUGCAGCACGCCCCCACCCGUGGGAUGCCCGCACUUAGUCAGUGCAUCUCCAAAUGGCUUGGGUCUAGGCAUCAGCCCUGCGUUGUCUGGGGCAUGCGUUCUCUGUGCAGCCACCACAAAGAAUUGGACAAGCAAAAAAGGAGUUUGGGCACUGGUACGAGUUUUGGAGGAACAUUCCUUCUCAUUCACUUGCCCUCUGUUGCUUGUGUAAAGUCCUUCGGCCAUCUAGAGCCCUAUUGCUUCAUAUGAAGGUUGUCUGGAAGUGAAGUAGGAAAGUAGAACUUGUCUCUGAAUUGCUUUUUUUUUUUUUUUUUGUAGUAGUAGUAGUAGUAGUGAAGGUAAUGCAUGUGCAGUGUAAGAUAAAAAUAGAUGGACUACUUGGCCCUGAAUCAAUAUAGGUAUGGUUAAAAUGAAUCUAACAUUUUGAAGAGAAUAUGUAGAAACAAGGGAAGGUACAGCACAGUAAAGUCCUGCUCCAGUGAAUGGCCAGCUUACCAUUUUAGCAGUUCUGGGAUUUCAUUCAUGUCGUCAACUAGUACUAUCUGGACCUCAGUCAUUGUAAAUUUUGAGAAUAAUUCAUACUUCUAGCUUCAAAAUGUUCAUUUUACAUCAAGUUUAACUAAUGUAGGAUUUUUGUUGAUUGCAGGGCAGUUGGACUAGAUGACAUUUAAGGGUCCCUUCCUACUCAAACAAUUAUAUGAUUCUAUGAUUUUUCAUGAUCUCUGCAGACCAACUAGAGGUUAACUAAAUCUAAAAAGCAGAAUUUCUACUUGUGAUGAUUAACAAAGAAGACAAAUCCAAUUUAACUUUAAGACUGUGUUUUCUGGACUACCAAUUGUGAAAAUAGCGCUGGGUAUAACAUAGAAAACUGAAAUGAAUUCCCCAUAGUACCUCCUUUUACAACAUCAUUGUAGACUUUGUUGACUUUAGACCGGCUUUUUUUCUCUGGAUGCUGUGGAAUUUGAGAUGACCUGAAACACUCAGAUGAACACAUUUCAAUUGCGUGUAUUUCUGGGUAAUUCACACUUAAAACCUAAGUGCUGGAAUUAUCUCCAGCAAAGCCUGAGUGUGUUGACUUUCACAUGUAUCUGGCUGAUGGAGCAGCAAGUUGUUGGUUGGCUUCCGGAGUUAUCUGUUUUUUUCUUUUGUUUCUUCAUCUAUCUAUCUAUCUAUCUAUCUAUCUAUCCAUCCAUCCAUCCAUCCAUCCAUCCAUCCAUCCAUUAAUUUCUUUGUUUUCUGGAGAACAUCUUUUCCAGUCAACUCAGAAUGACAGAAUAAGUGCAAUAGGUUUGAACACAGUGUUUUGUCCAGUAAACAGCAGGGGCAGUGGGACCCUUCCUCCAAACUUCAGGUUCCUUUUUCCAUCAUGAUUUGACAACUUCUGGACUGUCCAUGCUUCUCUUGCUCUGCAAAUGUAGAGCACUCCAUCUGCCCUCACUCAUCUGCCCAGCACUCAAGGGGAUGCUGACGGUGGGGUUGUGGCAAAUCCAGACAUAGUAUCUGAAGGCAUUAGCCUGGCCCCUUGGAUCUCAGCACUGAUGAGACACAGGUGGGGGGCUUGUGCCAUCACAGAAGUGACAGGAGAGAACAGAGUGCUCACACAGCAGAUUGGAUCAGUAUGCUAGCAGCAUAAGCACAAUAGGCCCGUUUCUUCCUCCACUAAUACAGAAGGUGUUAAUCUGGGAUGAAAGGUGGGUGAUGGCUAGGGAUGUCACAUAAAGCUAAAAUCUUAUAGUUCAUCUGUAUGGACCAAAAAGAAACUGAAUGCUAGAGGGGGAUAGCCAUGGGUUGUUAGAAGUCCCUCUUGACUAGAUCCAUUAGACUAAUUGUAGAAGUUGCUGCAGAUUGAAUAUGAAACAAAUUUGGCAAUUUGCUUCUUUGUAUGCUCCAGGGGGGAUAAACCUUUUAAAACCCUGGCCAAACCUCUGCAUCACCUGUUAAAAUUAAUUUUACAGAUCAUAUUGGCCCCGUGUCUCCUUUCUUAGGGGCUGUGUAGACACAAGUAUUGCAGCUGGAUGUUGUUGUGGGGAAAAACCAUGCCUGUAAGAGCUCACUUUGUGCCUGCAGGUCGGCAGACAGGACAACUGCCUAAAGGGGCUCAGAGCUGGGCUUUUGAGGAGGCACCUCUGUCAUGUUGAUAUUUUUGUCUCAAGGCAUGAAAGCAUGACCAUUCUGCAGAGAACACUACGCGUGGUGGAUUUCCUGCACACCCCCUGGCACUCACUGGGAAGAAAAGUCUCAACUGCACUUGCCCCUUCCUUCACAUGAAUAAAACCCACAGCCUAUGUUGCAGAUAUCAAUCUGAAUGUGAUGAAGACCAUUGUAUUUCAUUUUACUCACUGUCUAUCUCACCGCAAAAUCUUUACUGAAAUACGAUGAUUCACGGUCGUUUGGUACACAGUUCAUGCAAAUGACUUCUCUAUGAGGAACAGAAAAGUGUGUAGGGGUUUGGUGCAUAAUUCCUUUUCUAUAACAGAAAAGGAGCAUAUAAUGCAAACAUUGUGUGCCUGACAUAUUUUUAUAACAGAGUACUAAGAAAAUACUUGCUACCUGAAAUAUUUCUGUAAGUCACUGAAGCAAGCGAUCCAACAUGUGGGUUACAUUAUAUUCAGAGCUGAUCUUAGUUUUGUAACACACACUAAACAGCAGUAUGUAGGAGGCUCAGGUUUAAUAAAACUAAAACUUUCGGUGGUGCAUACAGCCAAUAAAGAUUUAAGCAUGCUGGGCAUGAUCAGCAUACUAAUUGCUGCAUUAAUAAAUCCUGAAGCCUGGGUUGUUUUGAAAAGCAAAUAAAAUGAUUGUAGAAACCUUGAAGAUCAUUUACAUUGAAAAGUUAGCAUAUAUCUCUACUGAGAUGUGUGUGAAUGUAAAACAUCAGUGAUAACACUGAUUAGAUGGGUUUUUUUAUGUUUUUUCUACCUCUCCUCUAUGUGUAGUCAGAAAUUAGCAAUGCCUGAUUCUAAGAGGUGCAGCUAUUGCAUUUAUCAACAAAACAUGACUGGAAACAAUUGUGGCUCCUUAUCAGCUAGUGACAAUGCAGUUUAUCUUUCAUUUUCACUGCUGAAUCAAAUAAGUCAUCCUGCACAGGAUCCCACAUAGUAAACCUGAACAGAGCUAUCUACUGAACCGCAGCACUUCAGACCACAACCCCAUGCAGAAGGGAACACGAAGAGCACACACAAUUGCCCCAGGUAUCCGUGCCACAAUGUCUGAGUGCAACAUUUCCCAGGAGACAGGGGAAACAGGAGACCCACAGGUCUCUUCUCAUGCAGAGAUAGGGCCUCACCUGGGUCAGAGUGUGUGUGCUCACUGGUGUUAUGAGCACUGCAGGUCUCCACAAAGCAUCUCAUUUCUGGUCAAAGAAUCAUAGAAUUGUAGAAUCGCAGAAUCAUGGUAUAUUACAAUCAUAGAUCAGCUUGGGUUAGAAUGGAAGCCCCAACCCACUGCCAUAGGCAAGGCUGCUCCCCACCAGCUCAGGCUGCCAGGGCUCCAUCCAACCUGGCCUUCAGCACCUUCAGACAUGAUCCCCAGCAGCCCCCAGCUCCUCUGCCUGCCUCAUGCAGAAGGAUGCUGGGUACUCGCAGCAAGGGCUUUUCAGCUCGGGAAGGACAAACUUUCAAAGGUGAAAAGGCAGAUUUAAAAAUUAGCCCUGAGAGUUUAGAGGUGGAAAGUACUGUGUGUUUCCAAACACAGUGACAGAGGAAAGAUGGUUUUACUUGCAAAAAAAAAAAAAAAAGGAAAUAAAUGCUUUGUUUUCACAGGGAGCUCACUUUCCUAGCAAAAAGUGCGCUCUGGCGUUCUUUACUUCCUAAAUAAGAAAUGUUUAUUAAAAAGUUUGGAAUUUUUUUAAUGAAAGGUAAGAUUAAUGAGCCGUUCCCAAACAGCAAUGAUUCCUGCCAGCUUGUGCAUUAGUCAGCUAUUAACAUACUUCUUGGGUAAUUUGAAGGCAUUUUUUCAUAGUGCAUUGGAAAUCACAAAAGACUCGUUGAACUCAAUGGGAUCCUUACUCCCAGUUAACUUGCCUUACAAUCUGAUGGCUGUGGCUGUUCAGUUUAACUUCAGCACUUUUUUCAGUGGCAUCAAUACAUUUACUGGAGAAACUCUACAAAUACUGUAAGGUGACGAGGGCUUUUUUUAGAGACACCUAAUUUUUAGCACAACAGUCACUCUGAGUGUCUCUCUCUCUCUUUUUUGCUGCUACUAUUCUGCAUGGUUUGAUGGUUUGUAACAGUAGGAUUGUGAGAUCUAGAGGCAGAGAAGAUGGAAAAAAAGGAGGGGAGGAGAGGAG